UGGGGAAUUUUGGAUCAAUGGGGGCGAACCCGUACGAUCCCAGCCAUUCCGCGUGAGUGAAGAAGGCCUUCGGGUUGUAAAGCUCUUUUGUCCGGAACGAAACGGGUUACGUGAACAUCGUGACCUACUGACGGUACCGGAAGAAUAAGCACCGGCUAACUACGUGCCAGCAGCCGCGGUAAUACGUAGGGUGCGAGCGUUAAUCGGAAUUACUGGGCGUAAAGCGUGCGCAGGCGGUUUUGUAAGCCAGAUGUGAAAUCCCCGGCUUAAGCCUGGGAAUGGCAUUUGGGCAUGCUGCAAGGCUUGAGUGCGGCAGAGGAGACUGGAAUUCCUGGUGUAGCAGUGAAAUGCGUUAGAUAUCAGGAGGAAUACCGAUGGCGAAGGCAGGUCUCCGGGCUGACACUGGCGCUCAUGCACGAAAAGCGUGGGGAGCAAACA
rnacentral:rRNA from 1 species